UGGGUGAGGCAGAUCAGGCGAAAAAUAAAAACUCAGGCUACGCACGUAGAUGCUUGAGUGGAAUGCUUUCGGACGCGGGUUCAAUUCCCGCCGCCUCCACCA
rnacentral:tmRNA from 1 species